rnacentral:rRNA from 1 species
AGUGUUAUACAAAAUUUGAAUAAAUUACUAAUAGGAUUUACAUCAAAAUAACUUAGAAAAAUAAAUUAUAUAAAAUUAAAUAAUUCUGAAAUUCGUACUCUCCAACAAAAUCGUCCGCAGACGACCUAGGUACUGGUCGGAGUGUCGUACUUAGUAGAGCAGCCACCACACUGCGAUCUAUUGAGACUCGGCCCGCGACCGGGGGAUUU